rnacentral:misc_RNA from 1 species
CAUACAUCGUCGCACCUCGUCCCUCACACAGUUGAUGCACGCAAGGAGGAGCGCACGCAAGCCGAAGAGACGCUGGGCGAUCGUGCACUGCACGUACCAUUCCCCCGAGAAGACAAGAAAGGAGAGAGACGUGAGUGAAUUAGCCCUCAGGGACGCGCGCUGCAUCGUCGGUGAGGAGAGGUGAACAAGCCGGCGUACAGCAACAGCCACAAGGCGCAUCGUUUCUUUCCUGUGCGUCGCACACCUUCUUUCCCCAUCCCACUUUACGCGCGGAGGGGGAGGGAAAGGGCUGUGUCUCACGGGGGCGGGACGCAGGUGCACCAGCAGACCCCCACUGUGCGGAGAAAGCCUAUCAUUUUAUCGCGCGACAACGAAGGAGGGCGGCGACAGGCAAUGCUCAAGCAGCUCAAGGAGACGGUGGUGUCUGCCAUCUCGUCAAACCCGCUUAACGCGUACGAGCUGGCUACCUCCGGCACCACACUUUGUGGCCGUAGCGACUUGUUCGAGAAGUGUGACGCUGUCGUGCGCGCCAAUGGAAAGAAGGUGUCUAUAUUCACCCUGCGUAUAAAGAGGGUGUUGGAGCGUUGCACUGCUAGCGAGGCUCUCGCGCUCAUCAAGGCGGUGAAGGAGAGUGUCGCACUGCUGACCCACAUGCGCCACCCCGGCAUCCUUAGCAUCGAGGAUCAACUGGUAGAGGACAAGAAAAAGAUAUGGUUUGUGGCGGAGCGGGUGUCGAUGGUGCUCGCGCCAGAGACCGUUCAGGGCCUGCCUCUUCAGGUGAAGCUGCUGGGACUUUGCCACUGCGCCGAGGCCAUCCGGUUCCUGCACGAGAAAGCAGAGCUUCUUCUUCUCAACUUUGCCCUCUCCUCCAUUUACGUAACAGAGGACAAUCAAUGGAAGGUCGGCGACCUCUGCUUCGCUGUGCCGCGAGCUCAGCUCAGCGCACCACCGCCGCCGCCCUUCCCCUUCCACAGCGUGGCGGCGCCGCUACUGGACUACCUGCCGACGGAGUACGUGGAGUUUUGCACUAAGAAGGCCGAUGCCGCCAACAGAGACCUUUUCUCCGUUGGCGCCGCGCCGCUCGUGUACCCAGACAGCGACACGUACGGCUUUCUCGUUGUUACGGUGGAGGUGUUGCAGGGGAAGCGGCUCUUCAACUGCGGCGGCAACCCACAGGAACAGCAGCGGCAGCUGAGCACUGUCGAAGGGCACAUAUCACGCUACUUCCCUGCGGGAGCGUUGCGAUUGCCGCGCCCACCGAUCUCGACCGUCGUCAUUACCGGCCCUUUCGCGACGCCGGACAUGAAGACGCUCACUGGUUUGUUCUCCUUUGGCAUCCUCGACAGCGACACACGCUUUAGGCUGCUAAAGGCGCUCUACGACGGCCUUACGAAGGGUGAUUUCUGCGAGGCUGUCAUCGUGUCGGACAUUGUGCCUCUCAUGGUGCAGGAGAGCAAGGCCGAUGCCAUGCUUCGCUUUGUGCUGCCGAUUCUUCUGCUUUGCGCCGGCACCCUCUCUGCCGGCAGCUUUGAUCGCACCUUGCGCGAAUACUUCGUGUCGCUGCUGACUGCCAUUAUUCGUGCUCCGUCGCUGCAGCCGGCCGCCGUAUACGCCGAGCAAGUUCUACAAAAGCGCGAGGGCAUCCAUAAGCACUUUGCGAGCGUGGAGGACAGGGCGACACUCAUUAUUCCUCUCAUCCUGAAGCUGAUGCCGAGUGAAGGAAAUGAGCGCCUCCAGAAAGGCAGCCUGGAGUGGUUCCGUGACGUGCUGACGCAGACCCCGACCGUCAAGCUCGGUUUGCCGAAGGACAUUGCCGCCCGCCUGCUCAAAGUGGCCGCGUCCAACGCAGACUCCUUUGCACUCGCCUUCCAGUGCCUCGAGAAGAUCCUCACCUUCUGCGAAUCGGAGACUAAAAUGGACGUGGAGGCGAACCUGACGCGAAGCAUUGCGAACACCUCCAUCUCCUUUACAUCCGUGCAACUUGAUUACAUGCUCGGCCUAUUGAGGGGCAUAGAGGAGAAGAUGACCCCAGAGCAUCGAGCCGUCAAGUCAAUCCCGCUUCUCUGUCCCCUCUUGCUUCACGCGAAUGGAACGGUGCGGCAGUUUGCCGUUGCGUCGAUUGUCAGGUACGCGCAGAUGCUCGGCAGCGGCUCAGCACCAGCGACAGCGCCACCACCAUCGAGCGGCGGCUCCUUUUCCUCCUCAGCGGCGAACUCUGGAGCACCUGCAGCACUCGCUGGUUCCUGGACGCAACCCACACUGCCGCCUUCAGCCGCGCCACCGCCAGCGUGUACAAACGACGACGUUUUUGCGUCUCUGUUUUCCUAGCAGUGAGCCUUAUCUACGUGACUGCGCGUGCGCAUGCUGCGCCCAUGGAAGCAACAAAAAAAAAGAGCGUGCUCCAGUCUCCAUCUCUAAAGCACGCAACACAGUGGUGAUGCGUGGCUUUUACUCACCCUAGACCUCCCUCCCCACCGUGACCGCCUCCCCUGCUCUUCUUCGUUUUUCCUUUUCACUCCUUUGGCUGCCUCUGCUGUCUUUGUGCCGGCGCUGAACUU